UACGGGGGGGGCAAGCGUUGUUCGGAAUUACUGGGCGUAAAGCGUGCGCAGGCGGUUUGCUAAGACAGGUGUGAAAUCCCCGGGCUUAACCUGGGAACUGCGCUUGUAACUAGCAGGCUAGAGUGUGGCAGAGGGGGGUGGAAUUCCACGUGUAGCAGUGAAAUGCGUAGAGAUGUGGAGGAACACCGAUGGCGAAGGCAGCCCCCUGGGCUAACACUGACGCUCAUGCACGAAAGCGUGGGGAGCAAACAGG
rnacentral:rRNA from 1 species